AAAUGUUAAGAAAAUUUUGGGAAUGAUUAUUAACAGGAAUAGACAAGAGAAUAGUCUAACUAAAACACAAAGUGCUUAUUUGCACAAGGUUAUAACCAAAUUUGGCAUGAAAGAUGCUAAGUGUGUGAAUGUACCUCUUGCAGCCCGUAUGAAUCUAUAAUCAGCCCAAUUACCUUAAACUGAAACUGAAGUGAAAGAAAUAAAGAAUAUCCUAUUUGUCAAUGCUAUAGGAUUUGUCAUUUUCUAUAAUCACUACUAGGCCAGACUUAGCUUAUGCUAUAAGUUUCUUAAGUAGAUUUAUGUCUAACCCUGGAAAACCUCAUUGGGCUGGGUUAAAAUGGCUUCUAAAAUAUAUAGCUAGGACAUUAAGUACCAGACUAGUGUCUGAAAGGAGAUUUGAACAGCUUACUUUAAAGGGGUAUGUAGACUCAUUCUAUUUCUUCACACUUGGUGAUAAUUGUAUCAUAAAUAAGUUAUAACUUCAAUCUACUAUCGCAUUAUCCAGUACGAAGGCUGAAUAUGUGGCAAUUACUAAAUUUGUAAAAGAAUGUAUCUAGUAGAAGUGAGUUUUGAGAUAAUAGAAUUUUUUGUACGAUUCACACAUAAUCUUCACUAAUAGUCAAAGUGCUUUACUACUAUGUAAGAAUCCUAUUUUCCAUAAGAGAUCCAAAUACAUUGAGGUGAAGUACCACUUUAUACGAGAGAAAAUUGCAUACAAUGAGUUCAUUCUUGAAAAAAAUCAUGCACGUGUAAAUCCAUUUGACAUAGGAACUAAAAUUCUAUCUAUUGGUAAGUUCAAAACUUGUCUGUCUUUGCUGAAUAUUGAUAAAUGGUAAUUUUUUGCAAAUACCUGGGCGAUGAUGUAGGGUAAACUACCAUCACGUACAAUGUAGCAAUUAGAGAGAGUAAUUGGUUAGAGAAACACAAGUUCUUUGCACAUAGUGACGGGCUAUUUAGCUCUGAGCCUCCAGAUUAGGUGUUGUCAAAUUGGGUGACCAUUUCUUCAGUUGGUAUUAACAUUUUAUGUGAGUUUGUGUUUCGGUGAUUUACUUAUUACCGAUUUUAGUGCAUGAAAUCCUAACAAGCAUCAAUGAAUAUUUAUGGUCAGAUUUUUUCUGUGCAAAUUUGCCUUCAAAAAUUUGCGUUGGUAACUCUUUUGGUUGCUUUGAUUGGCACCAGCGGAAGUGGAAAUCAGAGCAAAAAGAAGUAGCAACAACCACAGUACCACGUACUGCAGAACAGAAUAGAUUCACAGCCACCCAAACUUUUCCGAUGUCAUUCGGUUUGAUAAAUGGUUCCAGCCCAUUUUGGACUGUUGCAGAUUUGUCAGCCGAAAUUAUUGACUUCCCUAUCUCACAAAGGGGCCCACUAAUGGUAUUAUUAACUUUCCUAUCUCACAAAUGGGUCCACUAAUAGUCAGAAAAUCCUUUUCUUUUGGUAAAGAAUCUAUCUCUCCGCGCUGCGCGAAGAGAUCGUUUGGCACCCUUUUUUUAUUUUUUUUAUUUAGUACCAUCACUUUUUGAACCAUCAUUUUC